CCUCAGCAUAAAUCUGAGUGAGUCUGGGGCUUGAAUAAGCUCCUGGUUUGAAGAGGAAUGGAGAAAGCAACUAGAGGCACAGCAGACCAUUUUGCUGGCUCUGCCAAGGACAUUUGGAGAGACUGUCCCUGCCCCAAGUGAUGCGAGAGUGGAAGCGAGGAGGGAGCUGUGCCCGUCCUCUGGAGCCCUGGGAGGUUUUGCAGAGAAAAAGGACAGAUGUGAGACCAGAAAGGAGAAGAGAGAAGUCAAAGCGUUACUGAGCAGCAUCAGGCUGGUUAAGUUUAAUUCCAAUGCAUUGACUCUGUUCAGCUCCUUGGGGAAUGAAGGAAUGAAAGGAAAGGAGGAAGGAAAGCAAAAUAAUUGAAAGGAGUAAUUCAAUUUGGAAAGAAUUAUUCUGCUAAUGAUUUAUGGCUUCAUUAAUGACUGAUUGAACAGAAAUUUAUUUUUUUUUUAAAUUUACUAGGAAUUAGGGUGGCUGGCUGCAAGUUUAUUGGAUGUCACAGCAACAGAGACUCAUUUGUCUCCAUUUAAAUACUUAAUGAUCUCUAUCUUUCUCCCACUGGAUCGAUAGGAUCUAGAAGCAGCUUCGCAAAAGUGUGACCUGGUGCUCAGAGAAAUGUGCGGACAUUCGGUAACAAGACAUGACUGAGAGGGCACAACGUUGCAGAGGGACACCUUGCAAUGCCCUGUCCCUGUCCCCAUCCCUGCGUACCCCUGUCCUGGGGGCUGCCCCCGCACUGGGGGGAUCUGUUUGAAAAGUAUGUUCACUUUGAGUGGUACCACUGAUACCUCUGGUGGGAGCAUCUACCAGCUCCUGUUCUCAUUUGCCUCCCCAGAGAUUUCAUGUAUUUUUCCUGCAUUCAGCAAUUCCAGGAGUGAGACCUGAGCCGUGCUCACAGCCAGGCUGGGUGCAGGGAGCUCUGCAUUCCCCUAUAGGAGCAAUAUCAAUUUGCAAGGAUGAGUUCAAUUAACAUAACUCAUUACUUUCCCGUGUGUAACUGAUGUCAAGCGAACACCUCCUCUGAAGGGACUAUCAAGGGGAAAACCACUCGGCUCAUAUUGACCCCUUCUUUCUUUAGAAAUAACAGACCAUUAAUUCUUUGCAUUGAUAAGACCAAUAACUGAAGUUAAUGGAUAAAAGAGGUGGGAGCUGGAAGCCGGGGAUCCUGAGCAAAGCACCAUCAGGUGGGCCCACAACGUGCGAGGAGCUGUCGUCCCAGGUCUUCUUUGGAGAAAAAGGCGCUGUUCCUGAUGCGGGGUUGGGCUCCUCCUAAUUCAGGCGGCAGGGAUGGAGAAGCAGCACCACUGAGCCUGUGGCUUCCUGCCAGCUCUUCAGCUGGCUUCCAGAAAAGCCCUUCGGAAACACCCUCAUCAUCCUCACCCAAAACAGCAGAGACGGGACACAGCACCGAUUCUGCAGCCACUGGCACUGCGGGGGAUGGUGACACAACAGGCUUGCUUAGAUAAGAGGAUUGUUGUUGUUUUUUGCUUUUUUUUCAAUUAAAACAGCCUCCCCUUCCCUUUGCUUCUGGUCUCAGCGGAGCCUUGGAACUGCUUCUGCACUUAACAUUGCGUGUAAUUAUGGUCUCAGACAGCAGCCCUCAGUGCACUCGGCAGCAUCACCUCCCGAUUUUCAAGGCAGCACUUACAGGGCAGGAGGAGAGACAGGAAUUAGCCAAGCCUUGUGGGAACCAUACAUCAUGCUCCUUUUUUAUAUACACCCUCUGUUAGGCCAGAGCGUGGAUGUGUGGGAUGAUCCAGGGCCAGGCACCACAAAGCAUCCCCUGGGUCACGGUGGGUGGUGGCACAGCCACUUUUGGGGACGUGGCCUCCCCAAGGCCAGCCCUGCCCGCUGCAAACAGCCUUCCCUCAAUUUUGCUGCUAGCACCAGUGAGAAGAAAUGCCAGCAAACAGGAUCUUUGGGGAUGAAUUUUCAGAUUUUGAUCCAUGAGCCAAAUUAAAAGAUUAUUUUUCCCCUCAAUAAACAAAUCCCCUCUUCUCCUCCCUGCCAGCCUAGACAUCUGCUCCUCUGAAAAGAGCUUGUACCACAGAGAAAAACCUCCUACCGCGUGUCACACUGUCCUUUCUGCCUGUUUUCAUUUGCAUCUUUUAUAUUUUCUUUGGAUUAUGCUUGUCAGGCUCCUUGCUUAGAUGUGGUAGUAGUGCCAGGGGGGUUUAUAUUACUAAAUGCUGUUAACCUUUUGCUAUUAUUUGUCUUAUACAUCCCCGUGUGCUACAGAUACUGCUUUUGUUCUCAGAGAGGGAAUCCUACAGGACUGCUAUCAAAUGGGGGUGGUGGUAACGAGCAGCUGGGUACGGCUGCAGUCCUGGAGGUUAAUGCCUGAAGCUUUUUAUACCGGGAGAGAUCAGAAAUGCUACAACAGCUGGGUUUAAUAGGCACCCGAGGACGCAGCCCAAGCCUUGAGAGGCAGGUUUGGAAGGAGCCAAACCGACUGAUUCAUGUUUGCUUUGCACAACGGGAUGCGACCAACUGUACCAGUUUGUUCUGGUGCUGGUCUGAGUGGUGACGCCUGGGGUCCUGGGUAUCCAGCUACCUGUUCUGGGGCACGGCAUCUAUCAAAAGGACUUUAUGGCCCGUCUGCUGCAGCGGUGCCAGUGAAGCCCCAUUUUGGUGGCCCUGUGGCACUGUCCCUGUCCAUGCUGGAGGCUGGCAGCCCCUCUCUGGCUCAGGGACAGGGCUGCGUUUUGGGGUCCCCAGGCCGCACUGCCUGAUGGAGAGAAGAGUGUUUCCAUCCCCAGCGCUUCCUCCAGGCUGGAUGCUCCUCCCCAGCAACACUAACCUGGUCUUUGUCCCAAACUGCUGAUUUUUGUCAAGGGAAAAGUUGAUUCUGACCAAUGGAAAAUGCAGCUUUGUCCCAGUCCAAGUUUUCCAGCUCAUCCCUAUAGCCCUGAAAAAAAAAAUCCCUGAUGACUUGUUCUCCCUUCCUGGGGUCUUUUCCUCUUCCCAGAAAAGAAAGCCAAGAUAAACCUGUAGACCUUGGACCAGACCCACAAAUUCCAUCACAUUUUGGGUUGUAUUGAGCUGGUGCAGGGAGGGAUUUUCCAGUGGGAGGGCAUGAGGGUACGUUUAUGCUGUGGGGGCCGUGGCUGGUCGGAGCUCUGUCCUCCCCCGUGCCCUCCUGCUGUCCCCACCAUCCCUGCCCGGGCAGAUGGAAAGCAGCAGCUUUUUAAUUAUUAAAAUUAGUGCAUCCUUGAAAAGACGUAGCAUGCUUUUGGCUCUGCAAAUCACUGCUUUUGUACGAGAGGAGCAGUAAUAAAAUUAACCGUCAGAGAGGAAUAAACAAGUGGCACAGAUGUAAAUAUUAUAUAAUCUGCAUUUCCUAAAAUAUCCCCGCUUGGCAUCGAGGGCUGGAUUCAGAAGAGAACCAGAGCAAGGAUGCUGAUAGAAAACAAAUAAUGAUAGGAGGCAAAUAGUAAUUAAUCAUUCUGUGUAUUAAUGUUUGCAUGCAAGCUCCUUGCCAAACGCUCAAGGUGCUUUGCGUUCCCUUGGCCUCGCGGGCGUCACAUAAGACACAUCCAGGAACAACAGUGCCACAGCGGGGCUCCACAUGGGAAAAGGGGGUUUCUCCAGCUCAUGGGGGCUUGGUGCUAUUUGUCUGUUUGGAAAAACACAAAGAACAGUUACACCAAACUGCAGAGACCAGACACAACUUGGUGCAGGGUCACUGGUGAGCAGCUGGUUUUUAAGGGGCAGGUGCCCAAGCACCCUCCUCAAAGCACCAGGUUUUCUGCUCGCUGCUUGGAAAUCCAGAGUGGUACUUGUUGUAAUCUGACAACCCCUCUUUAAUGUCCCACGUUUGAAGUCACAUUGGAGAGACGUGUCCCAUCUGGUGAGUCACAGCCUCCUCCUGUCACUCGCUUACCUGCAGGGCCUCCGCAGGAGGAGUGAUGACAGCCCACGCAGAGUGACACAUCACAGGGAAAUGUAAAUAUUGUCUUUUAUUUUUUGCCUUCUGAAGCCUCCAGAAGAAAAUUAUUUUCGUUGCAGUUUGAAAACAUGAGGCAGCCUGACGUUUUCUGCCGCGGCCGGGAGAGCGGAUGGGUCAGCCCUUCCCGAGCAGGCAGCAACAAGGAGAUGCCGCUGCAUCCCAUGGGUGCCCCGGCCACUCUCCUGCCCCACACCCCACUGGAAAAGCCAUUUCCAGGAGCACCCGGCUCCAGCUUUGUGCUGGUUAUCGCUUCCCUGCUCCCUGCCCGCGGGUGACACCGGCUGUCCUGCCUGCACCCCGAUCAAUACCCCAGGGGAGCAGCUCUGGCCCUUCUGUGUGACAGGGGUUCAUGACACUUCCGAUCAAAAGCCCUUCUUUAAUCCGGGAGACAGCGAUCGAUGGGAAAUUAACUGUGCUUAAGGCUGAAUUGCUCCAGCAGACACCGCUGCUGGGGGGUGAGCUCGUUCCCUGCUUUGCAGUGAUAUCAAAAGGGCUCUGGUCCCAAUUGGCUCCAUCCUAUUUUAAAUGUUUUAAUUUUCAAUAAGACUUCAAAACAUACCUAUUCCAAGAGGACAGCUGAUGCUCUCCUCUCACCUCAGUGCUCCACCAGCACGGGGGACACGGGACAGGGAGGGGAGAUGGGAGAGGUUGGGAAACGGAGGACGUGGUUCCCAUCCCUUCCCGCUGCUCCUUCCUCCGCUCCCUCACCCCAUCCCUUAGAGGGUAAAUUCCCAGUGCUGUGCCCAACACCAGUCCACACCCUCAGUGCUGUUAGUGCCCAUGUCAUCUCUCAUGGAGGUGACAUCAGUGUCACACCAGGGACAGAGUUCCCACAGUCCGUCUCAUACGCCCUGAGUAUCACUCACAUCCCACAGGCUCCAUUCAAAACCAGAACUAAAGCCAGGCACAUGUGUCAAUGGUUUAAGUAUGAAUUCAAUCUUGUGUUAGACAUACAACUAGUGCACAUGAAAUAGGUGAAGGACCAUGUUCCCCCAAGGCAUGGCCUUUAUCAUACACAGCCUACUUGCAUUUAGAAUCAGAGGGAAGGUGAAAUCAAAAGAAGAAAAAAUAACUAAAUUAUUAUAGAGCAUAAAACCUUUUGCAAAAUUGUUCCAAUUGCCUUUGAUGUUUCAGCCAGAGAUGCUAUUUCCUUUUGUAUUAUUACUGUUUAAAAAAAAUCUGUAUCCUCCACAAAGCAGGUUGCUGCUGUACCUUUUAUAAAUGCCUACCAUCUCAUCAGUGCCACAUUAAACCAACAUCUCGAAUUCCAA